AAGCAUAAGAAAUUAUAUUUUGACAUUGCAGUUUUUGGGAAAAACAGGCUAUUUUAUGUGACUCAACAGAUUAGUCAUCAGAUAUCAGAUGGAACAAAUUUGAACUGUACACCAUGUUUGGAUAAACUGAGAGUAUUUUAUUUUGCCUAAGUAUGUUUAGUCAGAAGGAUGAAGAGGUAAGAUUUUUUGUGCCUUUUCAUUCUCUAUGUACUAAAUAAAUUUCCCCAUCCUUCCAAGUGCGUUCAUCUUUAGCCACUGUUUUCACUAAAGGUAUCUGUCUACGCUAUAACUUUAAAUUUUAAGUGCACUUUGAGUGCAAGAUAACAAUGAUCCUCCAAAUUGUUAAAAACACUAAUAAAGAAAAUCGUUCAGAAGGAAGACUGUACCUCACAAAGAGCAACGGCCUUCAACAGUCCUCCGUUAAUCAGCAUCUGCCGCCAAGUCUUGUCUUCCUGUGGCGGGGGAAGGGAUGGAUGGAGGACAGAAACUGCAUCCUGGCAUCAAGAAAAAGAACUUUCUUCCAGGCUAAGUGCAAAACAGAGAAGAGAAAUGCUUCCCACAAGCUGGGAAAUUUCCAACUCACCAAAGCAGAUGCUGGACAUGGAUUGCUCACCAAUGGAAUAUUAUUUAUUACUUAUUAAGAAAUAAAGUUGGAGCUAAAUUACUUGAAGCAUUAAGACUGAAUAUAAAAGUAAUAGACCAACAAUAGAGAAUUGUAUUGGAACAUAUUUCAACAUAAAAAGAUACUGAGGGUCUUCCAUCACUUUGAGAUUUGAAAACAACUGAAGGUUUAAGUUUUCCAAUGACUUAAGCGAAAAAAGGAUGAACCUAAUCAAUUGUGGAAAGAGAUGUUAAACAUGAAGCAGAUUUCCAGCUUUCUAAGGCCUAUAAAAGUCAUUUUAGGUGGAACGCAAACAGACUCCACCCUUUCAAUUAUGAAGCUUUGCAAGAAGAAUUCAGUUGUGUGGUCACCAAAAUAACACCAACACUUCUGGCUUUUAGUUAGUAGUUAGGCAAGAUGAUUUAGAAUGUUAACCAUCUCUUUUAUUACUUGGCAGCUUUGGGGUAUCCGAUUUAAGUCAUGAAUAAUCCCUUUGAAAACAAAACAUCUCCUUCAGAGGGAUAAUUAGACUAUUACUAAGGACAAACUAUCCAACAUCAAAAGGACGGACCCUAAGAAGUCACGCAACAGGCAGUCUUCUCCUCAAAUUAAAAGCAUGCUUAGCAUUAGAGGUCACUGCAAUAAAUAAAGGGAUGUGAAAUAAUUACUUACAAGUUUCAGCCAAAGAACUACAGCACAAACUAUAAUAAAAAGUGACUAGGUUCUGAAAAGUGAAUAUGCUAAUUAUUCUCAGUGUUUGAAUUGGUGCUUGGGAGCAUGUCCCCCAUUCUCUGAUUAAGAGUCAUUAAUCAUUUCUGUGAGGUCACUGUUAUUCCAAGAGAUCCUCAACAAUGGAAUCAAGGAUAUUGCUGCUAACAGUAUUCAAAAUGGGGGGGAAAUUCAAUGGAAGACCCAGAUGGUAAUAAUUACAUUAAGACUACCUCCCAAAUUACAAGACUAUUUUCUCUCAAGGUCAAGAUGUGCAAUUUUCUUUGUGAACAAAAUGCAUAACCAAAUGACCUAUUAUUAAUCAUAACUCCAAGCCCGCAUCACAUUACUCAUCAAUUGAAUGACAAUAAAAUAAUCUGCUCUGCUCAUGGUAUUUUUUUUCAGGUGGCUGCUAAGUUACCCAUAGUACUCCAUUCUAUCAAGAGUUACUAAUGAAUGAUCAGAGUGCAGUAAUUUUCAAUUGAGUAUUUCCAAGCUCCCCCUACUCAAGAACACUUUUUAUACCAUCAAUACUAAGUUAUUUGUGACAGUGGAAGAUGGUCAUUAUGCAAAGAUUUUAGCUUUCCUAAUGAUUUUACUUAAACCACUUUUUACAUCCAUCCAUGUUGGGGAUCUGAUAAUGCAUGGAUUUCUUUUCUCUUUUCCUUUUUCCUUAUGAAGGAGAUGCUAAAUUGCAGUGAAAUCACCAAAUGGAAGACAUUUGAAGAGAGGAGUAAAUAUAUAAGUCUCCGGUCAAGGAGAUGCUGAUUGGAACACUUCCUAAAAAGCUAUUCACCUGGAAGUUGCUCUUAUAAAUUAUUUAUUAUCCAUAAAGUUGUUAUAAUAUCUGAAACUAUUUGAGUCAACUAUUUGAAAAGUAACGAAAUAUACUCCUCACGCAGUGGGUUGAAUUUACUCUAUCAAACUUUGGUAUAGUAAGGCUCAGAAGUUUUGUGAUCAAGAUUUAUUAGGCAGCUUAACCCAACACCACUUGCACCCUCUUUGCCUCAGGUCAUUUAUCUAUAAAAUAGAAAUGUCAAUAGUGUCUUUUCUAACAGGUCUUUGUUUGAGCAUUAGAAGAGCUUAUGGAAGUCAAAUCUUCAGAAUGAAACCUGGAAUAUACACUUCCUUUUAAAGCCCCAAGGUGCCGUGUAAGAAGUCCAACUACUCUGAGAUUGCCCUGCUGUGAGGAAGCCCAAGCUAUCGGUGUAGAGGGAGAAAGCAAUGCUGGCCAACCUCCAGCCGUUCCAGCCACCCCAGUGCAGGGGCCAGACAUGGAAAUGAAGUUCUCUUGGAUCCUCCAGACCAGACCAGCUACGGCCAGCCUUAGUUGAUGCCAUGUGGAACAAAAGAACCUCCCAGCUGAACCCUGCCUGAAUUUGUAGCUCACAAAACUCACAUGAUAUAAUAAAAUAGUUCUUAUUUUAAACCACUAACUUUUGGGCUAACAACAAAAGGUAAUUGGAUGGGCAGAGGAUACGAAUGCACAUUUUCCAAAGAAGAUAUAUAGAUGGCCAACUGGCACAUGAAAAGGUGCUCAGCAUCAGUAAUUAUUAGGGAAAUGCAAAUCAAAACUACAAUGAGAUAUCACCUCACACUCAUCAGAACGGCUAUAAUUAACAAGACAGGAAAUAAGUGUUAAAGAGGAUAUGGAGAAAAGGGAACAUUCAUACACUACUGGUAGGAAUGUCAACUGGUACAGCCACUAUGGAAAACAGUAUGGCGAUUCCUCAGACAAUUAAAAAUAGAAAUACCAUACGAUCCAGCUAUCCCACUGCUGGGUGUUUAUCCAAAGAAGAUGAAAUCAACAAUUCAAAGAGAUUUAUGCAUCCCUAUGUUAAUCGCAGCAUUAUUCACAAUAGCCAAGACAUGGAAGCAACCCAAGGGCCCAUUAACAGAUAAGUGGAAAAAGAAGAUGUCAUAUACACAUACAAUGGAAUAUUACUCAGCCAUAAAAAGUCAAAAUCAUGCCAUUUUUCAACAAUAUGAAUGGACCUUAAGUAUAUUGUGCUAAGCAAAAUAAGCCAGACAAAGACAAAUACUGUAUGAUUUCACUCAUAUGUGGAAGAGAAACACAUGGAUAAGGAGAAUAGACUAGUGGUUACCAGAGGGGAACCCUCCCCCAACUGUCUUCCCCUCUGGUACAUAUGUAUGGUAACAGAUAAAAACUAGACUAUGAGGGUGAACAAGAUGCAGUUUAUACAGAAACUGAGAUAUAGUGAUGUACACCUGAAAUUUACACAACGCUCUAAGCCAAUAUGACCUCAAUAAAAAAAAUCAAAUUAAAAAAAAAAGAUAAUUGGAACAACGUCUGAAUCACACGCUACACUUUACAACAUGGCUGCUUUCCAGAGAAUUCAUCCAUAAAUCAAAUGCCUAUUCACUUGUACAAUAAACACUUAUUCAGCACUACUAAUAUGCCAGGAAGUUUGCUAGAAUGCAAAGUUGAGCAUGGCAUAAUUCUUAUCCUCAAGUGGCUUUCUCUCUAGUGGGACAAACAGAGAACUAAGUUAGUAGUUACAGUUUAAUGAUAUAAGCAGACCACCAUGUUGCUCAAGGGGAGGUGUACAUUCGCUUUGCAUCCUAUGCAAAUGGUGCCCACUGGAGUUGAACACACACACAGCUAUUCAAAAGGCCACAGUGUGAAUACUCCCCUAAAACUGGGUAGGAUAGAGGCCCUGGUGAUAAAUAUUAGGCUAUAAGUAUGCACAGAGUGCUAGAAAAGCACAGAAGAGAGAAGGAAAACAAUGAACUUUACCUGGAGCGUUUUUAUUUUCACUAUUAAGAUAUAGGGAAUUAACGAGCCCAGUGAAAUGUUAUUGAUAUUGACAAUGUGGUUUAGGAAUGGUAACAUUUAUCUUAAUGUGUAUAAUACAGCUGGGUUCAAACAAUUAAUUUAAACCACUAAAUAUGCAUUUUCAUAUUCACUUUAAC
rnacentral:lncRNA from 1 species